GCCUGGGUGGCUCAGUCAGUUGAGCGUCUGACUUCAGCUCAAGUCAUGAUCUCACGGUUUGUGGGUUCGAGCCCCAUGUUGGGCU
rnacentral:tRNA from 1 species